rnacentral:rRNA from 1 species
GGAUUGUAGGCUGAAACUCGCCUACAUGAAGCUGGAGUUGCUAGUAAUCGCGAAUCAGCAUGUCGCGGUGAAUACGUUCCCGGGCCUUGUACACACCGCCCGUCACACCAUGAGAGUUGGCAAUACCCAACGUACGUGAUCUAACCCGCAAGGGAGGAAGCGUCCUAAGGUAGGGUCAGCGAUUGGGGUGAAGUCGUAACAAGGUACC